rnacentral:tRNA from 1 species
GCCCUGCCAGAAUGGUGGAUAUGACCCUCGGCUUGUAACCGAGCGGACUCGGGUUCGAAUCCCGAAUAAGGCA